GAGAGGAAUGAAAAAAUACUAGUAAUUGGUGUGGAGGGGAAGAUCUGUUUAUGAUAUAGUUCAAGAAAGAGUCAUCUCAUUUCCUUAAUUCUUUGUUCUUUCUAAUUCAUUCACUUCAAGUCUAGUUUUGAACACGGUGUAACAUCACCUUCAAC